rnacentral:rRNA from 1 species
UACAGAGGUGGCAAGCGUUGUUCGGAAUUACUGGGCGUAAAGGGCGCGUAGGCGGCCCGUCAAGUCCCGUGUGAAAGCCCCCGGCUCAACCGGGGAACGGCGCGGGAAACUAGCAGGCUUGAGUUCGGGAGAGGGAAGCGGAAUUCCGGGUGUAGCGGUGAAAUGCGCAGAUAUCCGGAGGAACACCAGUGGCGAAGGCGCCGCUCUGGGCCGUGACUGACGCUGAGGAGCGAAAGCGUGGGUAGCAAACAGG